rfam:Babesia microti strain RI chromosome I, complete genome.
GCGCCUGUGGUCUAGUGGUAGAAUACUUCGUUGCCAUCGAGGUGGCCCGGGUUCGAUUCCCGGCAGGCGCA